rfam:Dictyocaulus viviparus strain HannoverDv2000 D_viviparus-1.0_Cont169.15, whole genome shotgun sequence.
CCAACGGCCCUCUUUAGGGCCACAUUUGAAAUUGCUGAUGUUAU